rnacentral:rRNA from 1 species
UACGUAGGGGGCGAGCGUUGUCCGAAGUUACUGGGCGUAAAGCGCGCGUAGGCGGUCUUUUAAGUCUGGGGUGAAAGGUUCAACGCUCAACGUGAACAGUGCCUUGGAUACUGGGAGACUUGAGUUCGGGAGAGGGCAGUGGAAUUCCGGGUGUAGCGGUGAAAUGCGUAGAUAUCCGGAGGAACACCGAUGGCGAAGGCAGCUGCCUGGCCUAGAACUGACGCUGAGGUGCGAAAGCGUGGGGAGCGAACGGG